CCCUUAGAUGUCCGGGGCUGCACGCGCGCUACACUGUAGAAAGCAGCGUGCUUUAAAACCUUUCCUGAAAAGGAUGGGUAACCCCAGCAAAAUUCUACGUGCUUGGGAUAGAGAUUUGCAAUUUUCUCUCUUGAACGAGGAAUUCCCAGUAAGUGCGAGUCAUCAGCUCGCGUCGAUUACGUCCCUGCCCUUUGUACACACCGCCCGUCGCUACUACCGAUCGGAUGGUUUAGUGAGACCCUCGGACUGGUCCCGUCGAAGCAGGCGACUGCCUCGACGCGCGCGCCGGGAAGAAGGUCGAACUUGACUAUCUAGAGGAAGUAAAAGUCGUAACA
rnacentral:rRNA from 1 species